UUAUUAAUUCAUGCACAAAUAAUUGUUCUCUAUAUAAAUUUGUUGGUGACCUUGAGCAGUUUUGGAAGAGUAACAGACGGAACCAAGACUGAAAUGGAUUUGAGGGAGAACAGAAUGAGUAGAACUGGAGGAGAUGACUGUUUCAGCUAAUCUUCAUUGUCAGCAUGACUGGAUCGGGGGACUCCUGGAGAACUGACUGGAAUAUGGAGCCACUGUGCCCAGCAGAGGGCUAAUCCACUGAUGCUCACUGGUGAAUUUUCUGCAGGAGGAGCAACAAGUAACUUGGAGUCAAAGGAGUCCCCACUAAGGCUGAGACCAGGCAGCUAUUUGCGCAGCGAUACUCUUUUGUCUGUAGUGCAGUGCAUCUCCUCACACGCGUGCCCAAAAGAGCUUCUGAGUUAGGGGUAGAACUCUGAGAAUCCCUCUGUCUCCAACACUCCCAUGGGCCACAAGUAUCACUACAGGUUUUGUUGCAAUAAAAGUGAACCUUAUGGCAA